CCCAAAUUGGCCAUUUUUUUUACGUUUAAGGGUGUGUUUUUUUGAAUCACUAUACUUUCUAAUGACUGUGAUACGACUAUUUUCUAACGGUCUUGACGUUACUGAGCAAAAUGUUCUGAAAAAUGUGUGUAUAAAGUGAUCAGAACACAAGAUUGAGACAUGGGAACGUGGAGUUGGUGAGUAGGUUAUUGUUCGACCCGACAGCAAGCAACUCCCGGCAUGACGUGUUAAGAGAAGCUUUGUUAAUUUGUGGUGUUAAAUUGAACCUUUUCAUCCUCUUCCAGAAUAAAAGUUAAGCACCAGCUACUGUGAUGGUGUAUCUGAUGCAGAAGGUGACUCUUAAUCAGAUAUACCAAUGGAUGAAAGAACAUUUAACACUGGUUGACAUAAAUCCAGGGAAUACAGCCAAUAUGUUCACAUUGAAUAGUAUGAAAGGGGUGCAAAGCUGCUCAUUUGUAUGACACAUUUUCUAGAAUAUAUUGUUUUAAGAG